AACGAACGCUGGCGGCAGGCUUAACACAUGCAAGUCGAGCGCCCCGCAAGGGGAGCGGCAGACGGGUGAGUAACGCGUGGGAACCUACCCUUUCCUGCGGAAUAGCUCCGGGAAACUGGAAUUAAUACCGCAUACGCCCUUCGGGGGAAAGAUUUAUCGGGGAAGGAUGGGCCCGCGUUGGAUUAGCUAGUUGGUGGGGUAAAGGCCUACCAAGGCGACGAUCCAUAGCUGGUCUGAGAGGAUGAUCGGACACAUUGGGACUGAGACACGGCCCAAACUCCUACGGGAGGCAGCAGUGGGGAAUAUUGGACAAUGGGCGCAAGCCUGAUCCAGCCAUGCCGCGUGAGUGAUGAAGGUCUUAGGAUUGUAAAGCUCUUUCACCGGGGACGAUAAUGACGGUACCCGGAGAAGAAGCCCCGGCUAACUUCGUGCCAGCCGCCGCUGUAACAC
rnacentral:rRNA from 1 species